GCAGGCUGGCCACCCAGUAAUCAGCACAAGUUAGAAUGUGGGCAACUCGGCAGUCGUUGCGCAGGCACUUUGGUGACUCUAGAUAACCUCGGGCCAAUCGCACGUGCCCGUGACGGCGACGACGCAUUCGGAUGUCUGCCCUAUCAACUUUCGAUGGUACUGUCUGCGCCUACCAUGGUGACCACGGGUAACAGGGAAUCAGGGUUCGAUUCCGGAGAGGGAGCCUGAGAAACGGCUACCACAUCCAAGGAAGGCAGCAGGCGCGCAAUUUACCCACUUCCGACGCGGGGAGGUAGUGAC
rnacentral:rRNA from 1 species